CACGUAGGGUGCGAGCGUUGUCCGGAAUUAUUGGGCGUAAAGAGCUCGUAGGCGGUGUGUCGCGUCGGCCGUGAAAACUUGCAGCUUAACUGUGGGCGUGCGGUCGAUACGGGCAUCACUGGAGUUCGGCAGGGGAGACUGGAAUUCCUGGUGUAGCGGUGAAAUGCGCAGAUAUCAGGAGGAACACCGGUGGCGAAGGCGGGUCUCUGGGCCGGUACUGACGCUGAGGUGCGAAAGCGUGGGGAGCAAACAGG
rnacentral:rRNA from 1 species